GGCAAGUUGUCCUUGGCUA
rnacentral:siRNA from 1 species